rnacentral:rRNA from 1 species
CGCUGCAUUAGCUAGUUGGUAAGGUAACGGCUUACCAAGGCAACGAUGCAUAGCCGACCUGAGAGGGUGAUCGGCCACACUGGAACUGAGACACGGUCCAGACUCCUACGGGAGGCAGCAGUAGGGAAUCUUCCGCAAUGGGCGAAAGCCUGACGGAGCAACGCCGCGUGAGUGAUGAAGGUCUUCGGAUCGUAAAACUCUGUUAUUAGGGAAGAACAUAUGUGUAAGUAACUGUGCACAUCUUGACGGUACCUAAUCAGAAAGCCACGGCUAACUACGUGCCAGCAGCCGCGGUAAUACGUAGGUGGCAAGCGUUAUCCGGAAUUAUUGGGCGUAAAGCGCGCGUAGGCGGUUUUUUAAGUCUGAUGUGAAAGCCCACGGCUCAACCGUGGAGGGUCAUUGGAAACUGGAAAACUUGAGUGCAGAAGAGGAAAGUGGAAUUCCAUGUGUAGCGGUGAAAUGCGCAGAGAUAUGGAGGAACACCAGUGGCGAAGGCGACUUUCUGGUCUGUAACUGACGCUGAUGUGCGAAAGCGUGGGG